UUAACUAUUUAUUCAUAUAAUUUGAAGGCUCAAAUUUAAAAUUUUUUAUCAAAAUAUUAUUUUUUAAAUUUUAAAAAUACUCCACAAUUAACAUUGAAACGGAGACUUCUCGUUAAAGAAGUGGAACUAUGGUAUUUUUCCCGGUUCCUGAAAGGCAAUUCAAUUGCACCUUCCAAGGCCUCGGAGACAGAAAUGCAUGGCUUAACACUCGCUUCCUUUUUUGCCAUCCAAUGCUCCACAGG
rnacentral:lncRNA from 1 species